CUACGGGUGGCCGCAGUGGGGAAUAUUGCACCAUGGGGGAAACCCUGAUGCAGCGACGCCGCGUGAGUGAAGAAGUAUUUUGGUAUGUAAAGCUCUGUCAGCAGGGAAGAAAAUGACGGUACCUGACCAAGAAGCCCCGGCUAACUACGUGCCAGCAGCCGCGGUAAUACGUAGGGGGCAAGCGUUAUCCGGAUUUACUGGGUGUAAAGGGAGAGUAGACGGCAGGGCAAGUCUGGAGUGCAAGGCGGGGGCUCAACCCCCGGACUGCUCUGGAAACUGCCAGGCUGGAGUGCAGGAGAGGUAAGUGGAAGUCCUGGUGUAGCGGUGAAAUGCGUAGAUAUUAGGAGGAACACCAGUGGCGAAGGCGGCUUACUGGACUGUAACUGACGUUGAGGCUCGAAAGCGUGGGGAGCAAACAGGAUUAGAUACCCUGGUAGUC
rnacentral:rRNA from 1 species